rnacentral:rRNA from 1 species
AACGAACGCUGGCGGCAGGCCUAACACAUGCAAGUCGGGCGAGGACUUCGGUUCUAGCGGCGGACGGGUGAGUAACGCGUGGGAAUGUGCCCUUCUCUACGGAAUAGCCCUGGGAAACUGGGAGUAAUACCGUAUACGCCCUAUCGGGGAAAGAUUUAUCGGAGAAGGAUCAGCCCGCGUUGGAUUAGGUAGUUGGUGGGGUAAUGGCCUACCAAGCCGACGAUCCAUAGCUGGUUUGAGAGGAUGAUCAGCCACACUGGGACUGAGACACGGCCCAGACUCCUACGGGAGGCAGCAGUGGGGAAUCUUAGACAAUGGGGGCAACCCUGAUCUAGCCAUGCCGCGUGAGUGAUGAAGGCCUUAGGGUUGUAAAGCUCUUUCAGCUGGGAAGAUAAUGACGGUACCAGCAGAAGAAGCCCCGGCUAACUCCGUG